ACUGGCAUCAGGCGCCUUCUCAAAGCCCCCUGGGGUCGGGCAGGCCAUCAUAUUUCCGCUCUACAAAAGGGGAAACCCGGGGCCAGGGAGGUAAAGUGCUUUCCUAACAUCAGUUAGUCAUGAGUUGAGUUCUGCUUUUUCGAUUCCUGGUCUUGAAUUCUCCCGCUUGAGUGAAUUCCUCCCGUUCACGUUUCCAAGGGAACUCAUCACUAGGACAUCUAGGGAGCUCGUCCCUGGCUUCUUUCCACUGUGUCGGGCCAGGGGGCAUUUGGAGGUGCACUGUGGCCUGCACUCAAAUGGCCCCUGAUGCGCCAGGCCCCCUGACCACCCGCUCCAGGCCUCCCUCUUCCCCUCCUCGGCUCUGGCUGUCGCCGCAGCUCCUGUUACAGAUUCGCUUGUGAUUUGUUUGCUCGGUAUCCACCUGCUAGAAGGUGCCCAGGCGUUUGAGUGGGAGAAGUUGCCAGCACAUUUGAGUCCAAUCGGACACACCGGCCACCGGCCUUUGAGUGGGGAGCUGUCCCUUGCGGGUCUGAUUGUCCAGGAGAGUCUGAGGAAACCCCCUUUAGAACCCCAACACUAACCAGUGGACACUUUCCCU